rnacentral:misc_RNA from 1 species
UCUCCGUAGGUGAACCUGCGGAGGGAUCAUUACUGAGUGAGGGCUCACGCCCGACCUCCAACCCUUUGUGAACCAAACUUGUUGCUUCGGGGGCGACCCUGCCGUCCGCGGCUGAGCGCCCCCGGGGUCAAUCAAACCCUGCGUAACUAAGUCGUCGGAGUUUAAACAAAUUAAACAAAACUUUCAACAACGGAUCUCUUGGUUCGGGCAUCGAUGAAGAACGCAGC